UAUUUGCAUAUCUUGCAGGGGGCAGUAAUUCUCCAUAGGUCAGAGACUUCACAGGAGUCAUGAUUGGAGUCCAGAGGCCAAAGGACUGCCCAGCCCACAGAGCAGAUGAUUGGAUUCACCAAAGAUGACCAGCAGCGAGCACAGCCACAUGAGGACUUGGUCCAGCUACCAUCUGGGAUCUGAAUAAAGAUGCUUCCCUAUGAUCCUGCUCAUCCUCUUGCUUAUAAUAAUACAAAAAGGAAACACUGAAAAUACCCAAAAAGGGAAGAUUUAAAAAAUAAAUGGUAUAUCAAAACUUUGUGGAAUGAGAAGCAACUAUUAAAAUGAUUCUGUAGAAGAUGCUUUCAUAGCAAAAUAAGAUACUUAGGACAUACUGUUAAGAGCAAAGGAGCCAUAGAAUGCACUUUAUCUGUACCACACUGCCUGCCUUGCCAGGCAGUAUCGGAAAGGUGUUGGAGCAGAAAACACCAAAGCAUUGGGGUAACUAUAACUGAAAAACAUGGAAUUAA